rnacentral:rRNA from 1 species
CGGGGUGCACCAGGCGCGAAAACUUUACAAUGCGGGAAACCGUGAUAGGGGAACUCUGAGUGCCCGUUAAAUCGGGCUGUCCAUCUGUUUAAAUAACAGGUGAAGAAAGGGCCGGGCAAGACCGGUGCCAGCCGCCGCGGUAAUACCGGCGGCUCGAGUGGUGGCCACUAUUACUGGGCUUAAAGCGUUCGUAGCUGGUUUGUUAAGUCUCUGGGGAAAUCUUCCGGCUCAACCGGAAGGCGUCUCAGGGAUACUGGCAGACUAGGGGCCGGGAGAGGUGAGGGGUACUCCAGGGGUAGGAGUGAAAUCCUGUAAUCCUUGGGGGACCACCUGUGGCGAAGGCGCCUCACCAGAACGGCUCCGACAGUGAGGGACGAAAGCUGGGGGAGCAAACCGGAUUAGAUACCCGGGUAGUCCCAGCUGUAAACGAUGCGCGUUAGGUGUAUCGGUGACCACGAGUCACCGAGGUGCCGAAGAGAAAUCGUGAAACGUGCCGCCUGGGAAGUACGGUCGCAAGGCUGAAACUUAAAGGAAUUGGCGGGGGAGCAC